AAGUUCUUUGUCUUUUCUUCAGCGGUUACAUGUAUAUUCUUCAAGACGAUUUCAAAUCAGCUAGCUAUUAACGGCCAACAUUCGGACCUAGUUGUCGGUGAACUUUCAUUGAUAGCUCUCCAGAUGGACAAGUCGGUUCAGUCUUUGCCGAUAAAGGCAAUGGAAAGAAAAACGGACCGGUUUAAAAAUAACCGAUAAACCCAGAAGCCAACGAUGAAUAUUACAUUGGCAUGCGCAGUCAUGUUAGCAUGUAACAUAAACAAAGGGAACCAAUCAAGAAACUUAAUGAAAAGGAGACUUCUAAGUUCAUCAUCGGCAUUUAUUUACGAGUUGGCAUGGAUUUUGGACUUCAGAAUAUGAAUUUCAUCAGCGUUACCGAGGAUGUUUCAUCCGAAAAUGAGUAUUUCCCAUACUUGAUCCUUGCCCUACGAAUUACCAGAAGGUAUGCCCCGGUUUUGAUGUCGAUCAUCGGAAUUUUUGGAAAUAUCUUUUCAUUUGUCAUAACCACCAAAAGGGAAUACCGACACAUCAGCACAUGUACUUAUAUGUCUGCAUUAGCAGCGUUGGAUACCGUGUUUCUAUUUGAGUAUUUGACCUACCUUCCGUUCUUUUUUGGCCUAAAGUUUCCUCACUACCGUGACGUUAUUAGGGGUGUGCUCUAUUCGCUGUAUUGCAGUGGAACAUCUUCAAGGCUGACUCUUGCCCUAAUGACUGUAGAUCGCGCUUAUGUUGUGCUGUUUCCAUUGAAGGCAAAAAAUAUCUGUACCGUAGCACGGGCGAGAAAGGCGAUUUUAACUUUGAUAAUAAUCCCAAUGGUCAUCAAUAUGAAUGUGUUUUUCACCUAUGAUAUUCGCCUCCUUGGUGAUGAAUUUCUUGAUGUUGAUCUCAGCUUCGGCGAUUAUCCUUGGGUAGAAGUCAUCAUUGCGGUCUAUCAAUUAUCUAUAACCACAAUCAUUCCCUUCUUUUUUGUGCUGAUAUCAAACAUCUUGAUCAUGAAGGGGAUCAGAAAAGCUGCAUUAGAACGGCACAAACUCCAAAGCGCCAACCAAGCAGGGGACAUGGAAAAUAGGAAUUUGACGCGAAUGCUGAUGUUGGUGUCACUUGCGUUCGUGAUAUGCUGUGCGCCGUAUGCGCUUCAUGAGGUUGUGUUUACGAUACCAGCUGUUUAUACUUUCUAUGACAACAGCAUCACGUAUUGGGAACUAAGACAAAGCGUUAUCUUAUGGACGACCACCUUCAUAACCCUGACAAAUCAUGCCAUUAACUUUUAUCUCUAUAUUCUCGGUGGAGGACAGAGGUUUAGAACGGAUGCGAUGAAAGUAUUAAGCAUGCCAAGGGAAUGUUGUUGUACAUGAACAGCAGAAAAGAAUAUUUUUCUUCUUAACAAUACGAGUAAAUAAUUUUAUUGAUGGAUGAACUAUUCCCAGAUCAAAAAGCCCGAUUAUAUUUCUGUGAGAUUCUCAUCAAAGGACCAAUGGUAUUGUGAAGGGUAUUAUUACCAAGCUGUUGGCUGUCCAGUAACCUUCAAUUCUGCAGAGGCAGUUCCCAUCAUUAAAAAACCCAUAUAAAAUGGGAAAAAU